GAUGAACGCUGGCGGCGUGCCUAAUACAUGCAAGUCGAGCGAACGGACGCUACUCUUGCUUCUCUGAUGUUAGCGGCGGACGUGUGAGUAACACGUGUAUCACCUCCCUAUAAGACUGGUAUAACUUCGGGAAACCGUCUCUAAUACCGUAUAAUCUUUUGCACCGCAUGGUUCAAAAGUGAAAGACGGUCUUGCUGUCUCUUCUAGCUGCUUCCGGGCUGCAUUAGCUAGUUGGUAAGUUAACGGCUUACCACGGCAACGAUGCAUAGACGAACUGAGAGAGGGAUCGGCCACACUGGAACGGAGACACGGUCAAGACGACUAAGGGAGGCAGCAGAAGGGAAUCGGAGGCAAUGGGCGGAAGCAUGACGGAGCAAGGCCGAGUGAGUGAUGAAGGUCUUCGGAUCGGAAAAAUCUGUUAUGAGGGAAGAACAUAUGUGGAAGUAAAUGUGCACAGAGUGACGGUAACGAAUCAGAAAGCAACGGCUAACUACGUG
rnacentral:rRNA from 1 species